UUAACGCUGGCGGCAUGCCUUACACAUGCAAGUCGAACGGUAACAGGUUAAGCUGACGAGUGGCGAACGGGUGAGUAAUAUAUCGGAACGUGCCCAAUCGUGGGGGAUAACGCAGCGAAAGUUGUGCUAAUACCGCAUAAGAUCUACGGAUGAAAGCGGGGGAUCGCAAGACCUCGCGCGAGUGGAGCGGCCGAUAUCAGAUUAGCUAGUUGGUGGGGUAAAGGCCCACCAAGGCGACGAUUUGUAGCUGGUCUGAGAGGACGACCAGCCACACUGGGACUGAGACACGGCCCAGACUCCUACGGGAGGCAGCAGUGGGGAAUUUUGGACAAUGGGCGCAAGCCUGAUCCAGCAAUGCCGCGUGCAGGAUGA
rnacentral:rRNA from 1 species